rnacentral:tRNA from 1 species
GCCCCCAUAGCUCAGUGGUAGAGCGGCUGCCUUGUAAGCAGUAGGUCGUGGGUUCAAACCCCACUAGGGGCU